rnacentral:rRNA from 1 species
GACGAACGCUGGCGGCGUGCUUAACACAUGCAAGUCGAACGGAAAGGCCCUGCUUUUGUGGGGUGCUCGAGUGGCGAACGGGUGAGUAACACGUGAGUAACCUGCCCUUGACUUUGGGAUAACUUCAGGAAACUGGGGCUAAUACCGGAUAGGAGCUCCUGCUGCAUGGUGGGGGUUGGAAAGUUUCGGCGGUUGGGGAUGGACUCGCGGCUUAUCAGCUUGUUGGUGGGGUAGUGGCUUACCAAGGCUUUGACGGGUAGCCGGCCUGAGAGGGUGACCGGCCACAUUGGGACUGAGAUACGGCCCAGACUCCUACGGGAGGCAGCAGUGGGGAAUAUUGCACAAUGGGCGGACGCCUGAUGCAGCAACUCCGCGUGCGGGAUGACGGCCUUCGGGUUGUAAACCGCUUUCGCCUGUGACGAAGCGUGAGUGACGGUAAUGGGUAAAGAAGCACCGGCUAACUACGUG